CCUACGGGGGGCAGCAGUGGGGAAUAUUGGACAAUGGGCGAAAGCCUGAUCCAGCCAUGCCGCGUGUGUGAAGAAGGCCUUCGGGUUGUAAAGCACUUUCAGUGGGGAAGAAAGCCUUGGGGCUAAUACCCUCGAGGAAGGACAUCACCCACAGAAGAAGCACCGGCUAACUCCGUGCCAGCAGCCGCGGUAAUACGGAGGGUGCGAGCGUUAAUCGGAAUUACUGGGCGUAAAGCGCGCGUAGGCGGUCUGAUAAGCCGGUUGUGAAAGCCCCGGGCUCAACCUGGGAACGGCAUCCGGAACUGUCAGGCUAGAGUGCAGGAGAGGAAGGUAGAAUUCCCGGUGUAGCGGUGAAAUGCGUAGAGAUCGGGAGGAAUACCAGUGGCGAAGGCGGCCUUCUGGACUGAAACUGACGCUGAGGUGCGAAAGCGUGGGUAGCAAACAGGAUUAGAUACCCGAGUAGUC
rnacentral:rRNA from 1 species